AUUCGCGGCCUAUCAGCUUGUUGGAGAGGUAACGGCUCACCAAGGCUUCGACGGGUAGCUGGUCUGAGAGGAUGAUCAGCCACACUGGAACUGAGACACGGUCCAGACUCCUACGGGAGGCAGCAGUGGGGAAUCUUGCACAAUGGGCGAAAGCCUGAUGCAGCGAUGCCGCGUGCGGGAAGAAGGCCUUAGGGUUGUAAACCGCUUUCAGGAGGGAAGAAAAUGACGGUACCUCCAGAAGAAGGUGCGGCCAACUACGUGCCAGCAGCCGCGGUGACACGUAGGCACCAAGCGUUAUCCGGAUUUAUUGGGCGUAAAGAGCUCGUAGGCGGUUUGGUAAGUCGGGUGUGAAAACUCUGGGCUCAACCCAGAGAGGCCACUCGAUACUGCUAUGACUAGAGUACGGUAGGGGAGCGGGGAAUUCCUGGUGUAGCGGUGAAAUGCGCAGAUAUCAGGAGGAACACCAGCGGCGAAGGCGCCGCUCUGGGCCGUAACUGACGCUGAGGAGCGAAAGCAUGGGUAGCAAACAGGAUUAGAUACCCUGGUAGUCCAUGCCGUAAACGUUGGGCACUAGGUGUGGGUCUCAACCAACGAGAUCCGCGCCGUCGCUAACGCAUUAAGUGCCCC
rnacentral:rRNA from 1 species